GUUGUGAGUUUACGAGCGAUGUCCUAUCGUGCUCUCCGCAGCCAGCGAAGAUUCUAGAUUCAAAACACUGGGAUAUUUCCUACCAAGUCUGCUGGCUACUUUAUAUCUCGGCUGAUGUCGGUGUGUUGUCCCUUUCUGUUCUGGUGUGGGGUGAGAGGGAUGGAGCGAGGGUGAGCCUCCACCUCCGGCCGACGCGGGAGGCAAAAGAUUAACCCAGUUUUGUUAUUUGUCCACUGUCAGUUGAGUACCUAUUCACAAUGCGGCCGGAGUCUCCUCCAGUGGAUCCUUGGGCCGUUUAACGUAAUUGUAAAUGAUUAAUGUGUCUGUACCUCCAUGUAAUAGCAACAAGAGAUUGGGAACCGA